rnacentral:tRNA from 1 species
GCCCGGGUGGCGGAAUAGGUAGACGCGUCGGUCUCAAAAACCGAUGGGGUAAUUCCCGUGCCGGUUCGAUCCCGGCUCCGGGUACCU